rnacentral:tRNA from 1 species
GUCGAUGUAGUACACCGAUAGUAUAUGGGCUUGUCACGCUUAAGAAGCGGGUUCGACUCCCGCCAUCGACU